GGCUGUGAAUCAGUGGUAGAGCGCUUGCCUUGAACGUGUGAGGUACUGGGUUUGAUCCUCAGCACCA
rnacentral:tRNA from 1 species